AUUAUGGUAAAAUAGAACAAGAAGAUACAAAAGAGAGAAAGAAGGAAUAGAAAGUGGUGGAAGGGAAGGGCCUCUGGACUGGUUCUCCUGCUCUGCAGCACAGUUACUUGCCUUUCUCGUUGAGGCUCUUGGUCAUCCCAUCUACCACGGUCAAGAAGACUGCCACAUACAGAUAUGGUGAUCAGUAUGUCUGGUCCAGUUUGAAUGCCCUGUCCUGGAGUGGGAAGCAAGUUCUGCACUGUAUGUGGAUGAAGUUAAUCAGUUUGCAGUAACAAAGUGUUGGAAGGGACUUCAAGAGCUUAUCUAUACAGAGCUGGCCAGCCUGUGCCUUGGAGGCCUGCUGGGGAGAGGUGACAUUCAAGUGAUGAAGAAAUAGGAGUCUGCACCAUUCGUCAGCCUAGCGAGAAGGCGGCUCUAUGCUCACUUUGAAAGAGGGCAGUGCAAAAGUUACCUAGCGAUGUGAGUACUCUGGGCACGGCGGAGGAGCUUCCCACUGAAUGCGGCACAGCGGCACAGCUGCUGAGGAGAGCAUGGCAACAGCAAGAAAUGGAAUUCACUGAAGAAAGCGCUUGACAAGCCAUGUGAGAACCAGCGUGAGCAGCCAGUGGGCACAGCCCCAUCUUCUUGGGUGUGUUUGAACAUGAGAUUCACCACAUCUGAGAGGACUGGCAUAGCAGCUCAGCCCAGCUAGGCUGGCAGCUGCUCUAGGGAUGCUGUGGGAAAGGGCGCAGGAACAGAUGGAGAGUAGUCCUUUCCAGGCUUGACUGUCCUGCAUUCAGGAGGUUGUAUGAGGAGCCCAGGGAACAGACUCAGCUUUCAGCUUGGGCUGAAGUUAUGGCUGGGUGGCAGAGCAAAUCGUGGGAAGGUGUGCGACGUGCAGUGGGAGGCACUGAGCCGCUCUGGGCAGUCUCCCAGCCUGGCCCCUGCACUGGACACUGAAGUGGUUCUCCACAACAUGUGCACGAGGGAAAAGCAUGUCUGCAAACGAGCUGUGCGCUUGGAGAUGAGAAUGUAGCUUUAAUGUGGAGGUUUGCACAUUGAGAUGCACUGACCUACUGGGACAGUUAAUGUGUUUCUGGACUUGCACAUCCCCUGUUUUCAGGCAAACAUUUCAUGCAGAUUUGUAACAUGCGAUAGCUGCCAAGCAUCUUUUACAUAGUCACAGUCUAGUGACUGAAGGAUCCACUAAUUAAGAAGCCCUUAAUUAGGCUUUUAAAUGAUAAACUGUAAUAGCUCUAGUGCAGCUGUUGUAAACUGUAGAGUAAAUUAUACCCAGUUGAAAGAGGCUUUAAUUACGUAUUUAUAUAACAGACUUUAAGGACUUUGAAAGAUAAAAGAAUUUUUAGUGUCUGCAAUUAAAGAAACAAGAGAGUAACAAUAGGGCUCUUAAACCAAUGAAAGCAAGGAAAUUCAAAAUUAAUCUGCAAAGUCACACUGGUACUUUGUUUUAUGCUCGUGGCAUUCUAAUUUUGGGGGUUUGUUUUUAUUCUUUUUGUUUCCAUAAUGCAUGAGAUAAAGAAGUAUUGUCAGUCGGGAGUUGAUGUCCCCUGCUCUCACUUUCCUAGCUUUCAUAGGUCCAUGUGCAGCCUUGGUGAUACUUGAGGAAACUUUCCUUGCUUUCGUUUUUGCAGAAAUUCCAGCAAGAAGAUUAUCAACUACUUUUUCUCCUCGCAUCCCGGUUUACAGAAUGGUUUGUUGUACACAUGCCUUUGUGAAGUCAGCAGGAGCUCAAAAAUCGGUUGGUUUGUUGGUUGUACCUGGAACUAUUCAGCUCUUUGGAGAUGGUGCUGUGGGCUCCCUUUUUGCGGGGCUCCGACCUGCUGAAAUUGAAGAGGGUUAAGUCUUUGCUCACAUUUAGGUCUGGACCAGACUCCAGUCUACCUUCCUGUUAGAUACCAGCACUGCUGCCCUCUCCACAGCUCUGCCUGACACUGCCUCUCUUGGUAACCUCACCAGUAGUCACCAAACUUGCAUGUGCUCUCUGCUCCCCUGGUUUACCCAACCCUGCUUGCUUCCCUUCCUUGCCACCUCUCAUCACAAAUAACAUUGAUGCACAGCAGUGAAUAAACACUUCUUUAUAGAGAAAAAUAAAACUGUCUCUGAUGU
rnacentral:lncRNA from 7 species